UGGGGGUGGACGGUGAUAGCACGAUUGGUUGAUAGUUUAGCUAAAGGCCACAUAUAGAUAAAGCUCGGUGUCGUACACUGAGGAAAGCAUUGUAUCAGACUCAACGUCGGAUUGGCUAUGAUUCGCCUGCAGGGUCCGUCCGACCGGCCAGGAGCCGGCAUGCCAGACGAGGCCAAGCUGGCCCGCGACUCGGUCAUCGUCAACACGGCCGCCUUUGUCGUCAUCUGCGGCGUCAUCCGCGCCUUGCCAUUGGCGCUGGCGACGCUGAGCGGGGACACGUGAGCGAGCCUCGGGCGUGUCGCCGACCACCGCGCCGCCCCGGCCGACGGCGCUGAGUGCCGGCGGCACCGCUCCGGCUGGGUGCCGACAGCGCUGGGUGCCGUCAUCGCCACUCCGACCGACAGCGCUGGGUGCCGACAGCGCCGCUCCGGCGGCCGUAACUGACGUGAUGUGCCGCCCCUCGACCAACCGUGCCGGCGCCCGGACGCGUCCGACGGGAACUGGCGGGGAACUGUGGCAGCGACGGCUUUUCUCAGGCUGGUGCGACGACACCGCGACAUCCCAGGACUGUUUAGAGGCAGGUGCGAGUGAGCCGGUGUGGUAGUUUGCUGCUGCGAUGGUGUGUGGUGCGCCUUGAGUGUUGAUUUUGCGAUAAGCUGGCGAUGCAAACAUAGUCGGCAAAUAUACGUUAACUACAUUG